AAACUGUCAAUGUAGCCAACGAUUGAAGCUACAAACAUCUUGGACUAAUGAUAAUCCAGGUAGAAGGUAUUGGGAGUGUCGAUUUGAAAAUGGAUGGCAAAUGUGUGGUUUUGUUAGAUGGUAUGAUCCUCCCAUGUGUGCUAGGUCAA